rnacentral:rRNA from 1 species
GCUUCCUACGGGAGGCAGCAGUGGGGAAUAUUGGACAAUGGGCGCAAGCCUGAUCCAGCCAUGCCGCGUGUGUGAAGAAGGCCUCCGGGUUGUAAAGCACUUUUGUUCGGGAAGAAAAGCUACCGGUUAAUACCCGGGAGUCAUGACGGUACCGAAAGAAUAAGCACCGGCUAACUUCGUGCCAGCAGCCGCGGUAAUACGAAGGGUGCAAGCGUUACUCGGAAUUACUGGGCGUAAAGCGUGCGUAGGUGGUGCGUUAAGUCUGUCGUGAAAGCCCCGGGCUCAACCUGGGAAUGGCGAUGGAUACUGGCGCGCUAGAGUGCGGUAGAGGAGAGUGGAAUUCCCGGUGUAGCAGUGAAAUGCGUAGAGAUCGGGAGGAACAUCAGUUGCGAAGGCGGCUCUCUGGACCAACACUGACACUGAGGCACGAAAGCGUGGGGAGCAAACAGGAUUAGAUACCCUGGUAGUCCACGCCCUAAACGAUGCGAACUGGACGUUGGGAGCAACUAGGCUCUCAGUGUCGAAGCUAACGCGUUAAGUUCGCCGCCUGGGGAGUAC